UCAAGGAGCCUCUGCCUCCCUGUGCCGUCGCGGACCCUGCUCCGAGAUUCCCGGUCAUAGGUUACUAGGAUGAUUAUGCACUCUAUCUGAUAUAGGGAAAAAAUUCAGCAACUUCACCCAGAUUCUGCUAUCCCUACAAGGCUGCGUCUGAAAGACCAAAGAGUAUCUGAUGUACAUAUGAAGAACUAAAGAGCAACAACCCAACCCGAAAGGAAGCAUUUUGUGUUUCAUUACAGAGCAAUUUUACAGCACAAAUAGAAAUGAUUGCGAACCAGCCAAGAGGUUUUUUCCGGUUACUUUGUUUGAUGAAGUUUCUUUACUGUACCUUCAAGGUCACCCUCAUAUAAAGAAAACAGAGGUAACAUCUGGAUUUCAAAGAAAAUUAAUCACUUCUUCUGAAAGCUGUCCAAUUACUCUGUUAGAGGUGUCAUUAUUAAGAAAUUAAAGUGAGAGUAUCAGUACUCCCUUCCUAAGAUUCGAUUGAAGAACCUUCUGCAUUCUAUCUAUAGUUUGGCUUUUGUGACCUUGAACACAUCUUCUUAACCUUUUAAAACUCAUUUAAGCUUGUCUCCUAGAGGUUUGUUUGGGUUUAGAAAUACUUUGACAUUUUUGGAUUAAGUGGUGAGGUGGAUGGAAGCUUAAGGAGGCUUGGAGACUAAUGAAAUAUUUUUAUUGUUCUUUUCAACUUUCUCCUCUGGAGGAUCAAGGAACAUUUUAUUCUUGGAUCAUUUACUUAUUCACCAAACAUUUAUUGAGUACCAUGUACCUGAUGAUGACUGGCAUCCUCUUCUGUUCCUCUGAUGCUGUGCUAUUAGAUGAUGCUUCUGAAAACACAGCAAAAGGCUUUUAUUUGGAAUAUAACCAGAGGCCUACAAAUCAAGCUAUGAGAACUACGACUUCAAGAAUAUGUGUGAAGGGGCGCCUGGGUGGCACAGCGGUUAAGCGUCUGCCUUCGGCUCAGGGCGUGAUCCCGGUGUUGUGGGAUCGAGCCCCACAUCAGGCUCCUCUUCUAUGAGCCUGCUUCUUCCUCUCCCACUCCCCCUGCUUGUGUUCCCCUCUCUCGCUGGCUGUCUCUAUCUCUGUCGAAUAAAUAAAUAAAAUCUUUAAAAAAAAAAAAAGAAUAUGUGUGAAAUACUGAAUAGCAGGCAGGGAACUUGAC
rnacentral:lncRNA from 1 species